rnacentral:rRNA from 1 species
UACAGAGGGUGCGAGCGUUAAUCGGAAUUACUGGGCGUAAAGCGCACGUAGUCGGCUUUGCAAGUCGGGUGUGAAAUCCCCAGGCUUAACCUGGGAACUGCGUCGGAUACUGGAUGGCUUGAAUUCGGGAGAGGGAUGCAGAAUUCCAGGUGUAGCGGUGAAAUGCGUAGAUAUCUGGAGGAAUACCGGUGGCGAAGGCGGCAUCCUGAACCGACAUUGACGCUGAGGAGCGAAAGCUAGGGGAGCAAACGGG